AGGGCAGUAGCUCCAACGGUAGAGCAUCGGACUCCAAAUCCGGGGGUUGCGGGUUCGAAUCCCUCCUGCCCUGCCA
rnacentral:tRNA from 1 species